rnacentral:rRNA from 1 species
GGCUCAGAUUGAACGCUGGCGGCAUGCCUUACACAUGCAAGUCGAACGGUAACAGGUUAAGCUGACGAGUGGCGAACGGGUGAGUAAUACAUCGGAACGUGCCCAGACGUGGGGGAUAGCUCGGCGAAAGCCGGAUUAAUACCGCAUAAGCUCUGAGGAGGAAAGCGGGGGACCGUAAGGCCUCGCGCGUUUGGAGCGGCCGAUGGCAGAUUAGGUAGUUGGUGGGGUAAAGGCUUACCAAGCCUACGAUCUGUAGCUGGUCUGAGAGGACGACCAGCCACACUGGGACUGAGACACGGCCCAGACUCCUACGGGAGGCAGCAGUGGGGAAUUUUGGACAAUGGGCGAAAGCCUGAUCCAGCAAUGCCGCGUGCAGGAUGAAGGCCUUCGGGUUGUAAACUGCUUUUGUACGGAACGAAAAGGCGCCUACUAAUACUGGGUGUUGAUGACGGUACCGUAAGAAUAAGCACCGGCUAACUACGUGCCAGCAGCCGCGGUAAUACGUAGGGUGCAAGCGUUAAUCGGAAUUACUGGGCGUAAAGCGUGCGCAGGCGGUGUUGUAAGACAGUUGUGAAAUCCCCGGGCUCAACCUGGGAACUGCAUCUGUGACUGCAAUGCUGGAGUGCGGCAGAGGGGGAUGGAAUUCCGCGUGUAGCAGUGAAAUGCGUAGAUAUGCGGAGGAACACCGAUGGCGAAGGCAA